rnacentral:rRNA from 1 species
UACAGAGGGUGCGAGCGUUAAUCGGAAUUACUGGGCGUAAAGCGUGCGCAGAUGGUUACGUAAGUCGGGUGUGAAAGCCCCGGGCUCAACCUGGGAAUUGCAUUCGAGACUGCGUAGCUAGGGUGCGGAAGAGGGAAGCGGAAUUUCCGGUGUAGCGGUGAAAUGCGCAGAUAUCAGGAAGAACACCUAUGGCGAAGGCAGCUCUCUGGGACGGUACUGACGCUGAGACGCGAAAGCGUGGGGAGCGAACAGG